rnacentral:rRNA from 1 species
CCUACGGGAGGCAGCAGUGGGGAAUAUUGCGCAAUGGGCGAAAGCCUGACGCAGCGACGCCGCGUGAGGGAUGAAGGUCUUCGGAUCGUAAACCUCUGUCAGCAGGGAAGAACGGUCACUGUGCUAAUCAGCAGUGAAUUGACGGUACCUGCAAAGGAAGCACCGGCUAACUCCGUGCCAGCAGCCGCGGGAAUACGGAGGGUGCGAGCGUUAAUCGGAAUUACUGGGCGUAAAGCGCUCGUAGGUGGUAUGUCAAGUCAAGGGUGAAAUCUCCGCGCUCAACGUGGGAACUGCCUUUGAAACUGGCAAACUGGAGUGUGUGAGAGGAUAGUGGAAUUACAGGUGUAGGAGUGAAAUGCGUAGAUAUAUGGUAGAACAUCAGUGGCGAAGGCGACUAUCUGGCACAUAACUGACGCUGAGGAGCGAAAGCGUGGGUAGCAAACAGGAUUAGAUACCCGUGUAGUC